AUUGGAGGCAGCCUGAACUGAAACAGAAAGAUGAAGUCCAUGACCUCUGCAGACCUCUGGCACACAACCAGCAGCAGGAGCUACCUGAGAUGGGGCAGGAGGCUUUGUGGAUUACUGCCCUGGUGUCAGCCAGAGACUCCGCUCGGUACCAGAUGCACUCUCUCCACUUGAUGCUGCCUUGCUUUUGCAGCCUGACCCGUCAAACUGAAACAAUACAGGACAUGUUUUACAAGGUGCCCGGGUUUAUGUUGGCUGAGUGUCCACGUCCUGAAGUGACAUCGACUGUUUGAGGAUUUGUUUCUUGCCUUGCAAAGACAUUUAAAUUUCCAGAGCCAGGGACCCCAUGACCGUGGGCUGGUGACUGGGUUUGUUUUCACACACAGAGGAGAGGGAUGCUGCAGAUGACGCUUGCUGGGGGCUCACCCAGCCCUGGCAGGUGCAUGGGUUGAGAUCAUGCUGGGAACUUGAAUUGUUGCCAAGCUGGUGUGAGAGAGGAUCAUCUCAUUUGUCCUUUUUCCACCCAGUUGUUUUUUGUCAGCUGUUUGUCCUAUCAGCUCACACAGCAAUGCUCUGAGCUCUGCAGCCAUAUCCCAAAUAUGUCCCUCCCAUGUCAGAGGCUCACAUUUUCACUUUCACAAGCUGCUGUGUCUGCUGGGACUUUUCUCAAGUUAUAAGUCCAUUUAUGACUGAGAAAGACCGUAGUUUAAGCUUGAAAAUAUCUCAAGGCUCUCUCAGGACUUCCUUUGUGUCUAUCAUAAUCUUAAUGGUCUGGGCAUGGGGUGACUGCUUUGUGCCAGCUCCUCUAGAGAUUUCCUGUCACUCUACCACUUUACCUGUGGAGGGGAGCUUGCAGCAGUAAUUUCUGUUACCUUCUCUUUUUCCCUUUAUAAAUCCAUGAGGAGACACAGUCAGCAAAGGACAGUCUCUCAGUUUGCACCAGGCUUUAGAUGAGCUGCACACUCCUCAGUUAUGGGGAGCCCAGGGCCCACCCAGACAUGUCUAUGUUCAAAAAUUAGGGCUGAAUCCCUUCUCUUCAGUGUUGUGCCAAUCCAUCCAAAUUCCCUCUGAAAGCCAGGCCAGAAAUACUGAUAUGUCUAAAGAAUUCAUGUCAAAACUGUCCCCAAACCUGGAAACCCAAAUGAGACACAGGCUCCCUCUAGGAAGGAUGUUAAUAUACAAAAGUGUGACACACAAUGAAAAAGAGAUUACUGGACAAAGAGUUCUGUAACCUUAUUACUUUGCAGUAAAUAUGGAUUAUGUGUUUCACAGAUUUCUACUCUACUGUCCUAUAACUCCCUGCAACAGGAAGACUUAUUUUAACCAAAUGGAUCACACUUUCACUUGUUUUUCUAAGAGCAAACCAUCUGUGCACUGGGGAAGUUUUUAUGGCCUAUGAAGGAGUACUUAUAGGUGCAAAAUAUCAACAUUCCUGUAAAAUUAAAUUAAUUACCUGUUGGGAACAAGGAUUCCGUUCUCCCUCGUUUAACUGGAACUCCCAGGUCUGCCCUGCAGUUCGCUUCGAAAGUGGGAGCUCAAUCAGAUUAAUCAAGACGAAAGGCAUUUCCGCUGGCUACUCCAAACACUGAGCUCCCCUCUGUCCUUAUCAUGGAGCUGUUCAAUCACCCCUGCCAUGGAGGAAUGGGAUUGCUGGGGGACAGGACAAUGCAUGGGCUUCCUUUGACUCAGAUCCACCUUCCUUCCCUUCAGAGCCACUCUAGCACCUUCUACUGCUUGGAGCCCAAAAGUAAAAGCUGCUCCAGAGGGAUGCAAUGAGAUGGCCUGAGCAAAUGUACUUGCUGAGGUGAAGGAGUCCAGAUUAUAAUUUCACUGGCUCAUCUUUCCCAUCUUUUUUUGUGCUUCAUUUUUUGCUCUUUUUCUCUGAGAAUGAUUACAUGACUCUGUUACCUUCCCUUUAUAUUUCAUGUGGCAUCAGAUAUGCCACAUAGUUUGCCAUCACAGCCUUUCCUUUUGUUUGAAAAGUGUGUAAUCCAUCCCAGCAGAUAGCUACACUUCGGCAGGAAUACGCUCAAAAUUCAGUGAUGAAGCAUGAAGUGUAAUGGAUAGUGUGAUGUGGAAGGAAAAGAUGCAAAACAGACACAGCACUGCAGGAAACUGCAUAAAUGUCAAGAAGCCACUUUAGCGUAGAUCUUGGGAGAACUUUCUUUACAAAAACUGACUGAUUCCUCAGAAAAUAGACUCCCACUUCUGAAAGCAAUACACUCUCAAAUGCCCAGUUGCCAUUUACCCAUCUGAAAACCAUUUUAAAGUCAGAGGAAUUUCAGAAGCAGCCCAUCUGUCAAUUAUUUUAAUCCCCUAACUAUAAAUAUGGAGAAAUCAUAACCACAAUGGUGGAAUCCCUAGCAAAAGCCUUCCUAGCUGCCAAAACAGUUUAAGGAUCUGGAAGCAAAAACUUUGCCAUUUUAGCUUAUGCAGCUGACCAUGUAGUGCCCUUCUGGUUACAGCCUUCAUGAAUGUCUCUAGAAAACCUGCAUGUGAGAACACCAACUGCAGAGAGGGGCUGACCACAGGUACGUCCCAUGUCCUGGGAUGACACACUUCUCCACACUGCAGCCUCAUCAUUGGAGAAAACUCUCCAUGCUCCUCGCAGCAAUUGUGAUUUAAAGUCAUUAGAAACAGGCAGAGGCACAACAGAUAGAGCUGAAAGUUAUAAAUUUUUACAUUCUUACAGUUGGCUCUGGAGACUUUAUGUAGUUGAUUCAGGAAAACACCUGCAUUAGAGAUGAAGAAGAUUAAUUGUGUACCCCGAGUCCCCAGUACAGAACCUUUCCUUACAAUCCUGUGUGCCACUGGUGCCAGCAGAGUUUUUAAUGUCUUGGACAAUGGAUUUCUUUGUCUCACGUCUCCUGGAGGAUGAUUAGAACCCAUCAGAUGAGUGUCCUUUAGUUUUAGGUUACCAUUUAGCUUGAGCACACUCGUGGUGCUUGGUAUGAGUACAAGUCCACAGCCCAAUGUGACCUGGCUCUGGUGUGACUGGGGAGGGGAUAGUGUGUGCUGGCACGGGGCUCACAGGAACCCGGCACCUUUAAGACAAUUCUGUGGCUGCGUUCCUGCCGGAGGAGGAGUUUCCCCCUUUCUUUUAGUCCAUGUGACACACAUUGAAGGAGCCCUGAAAUAUUAAAAUAAACAGAAAGCUUGACUUGCAGAACCUGUCUGCUAAGCCAGGAAUCACAUUUCUUGCUGCAGUUUCAAACCGCCAUCCAGAGACUUGUAAAACAUUGACAAAAACCCCUUUGCCCCCAGAGCUUUCAACAAAAACAACAGCCAGUGCUUGCACCCAUCUCUGAAAGAGCAAAUAUGUUAAAUUCAGUUCUCACUUCACUCUCCUUGCUUUUACCCCCACAAAAGAACCUCUGAGCAUAUUCUCCUUUUUAAUUUCAAUUUCUUUUCCAUUCCUGCUAUUAUAGCUGAUUUAAGGAUUAGAAGGCCCACACAUGCCAGAUGUGAGGGAAGCAGGCUUAGUGGAUGUAGUAAAAGAAAUAUAAGGAAACCCCCUGAUCUAAAGGCCCAUUUCCUGCUCACUCUCAUCACUGCCUGCUUUCAGUGGGGAAUGAGUAAUCUCGUGUUUGACAGAGCACUGCCAGCCUGCAAAGUGGGACAGCUCUGAGGCUGCCUUGCUCUGCAAGGUGUAGAAAAGCACAGGGUACCCAGGAGAAAGACUCUAAGCAGAUUAUAGGUGGAUCUAAGCAGAUGUUACAUGGAUGCUGGCUCUGUAAGCCCCAUUCCUCAGGGACACGUUGGACUCAAUAACCACCACACAUACACACACAAGGACAGGGCAGGGUUAGUUUGUGACUCACCCAGGAAGUCUGCGGCACUGCCAGGGACUGCACGCAGGUCUGAAGGAUGAGUGUUUAUAUUCUGCAUGGUAGACUUGCCUGUUUCUCCAGCUACAUUCCAAUAAAAUGCCUGUUGCCAUCUCUAUUGUCAAGAGAAGGACUUCCCUAAAUGACUUUGUUUGAAAAAAAUCUCAGUGAAUAGAAAUAAUG